UUGAUUUUUUAAUAAGACUCAGACAAUAAAGUAAAGAGUUUAAAAAUCUUCGGCGGGAACUCGCCCGCAAAGCCGACGGUCUGUAAAGAACGUCCCGCCGAAGCAACAGGUCAAUACACAAAGGGUGGGAGUUGGAUCGUUAAAUCCAGAACUCAGUAAUGAUCCUUCCGCAGGUUCACCUACGGAAA
rnacentral:misc_RNA from 1 species